rnacentral:tRNA from 1 species
GCAUCGGUGGUUUAGUGGUAAAAUGCUUGCUUUCCAUGUGGGAGGCCUGGAUUCAGUCCCCAGUCACUGCA